GGGAAGGUUUUUGUGGGUAGUUAUAUUUUUUUUCUUCCACCUGUAAUUCCAAUAGAUAGAGAAUUAAAAGGAGUACAGAGAGAAAUGGAGCUAGUUCUGCAAUGAAAUGACUCAGAUAAAUCUUAAAUUAUGUCACUUUUCUAGUUGUUACUGAAUUAUCAAGGAUUUAUUCAAAGAGGAUAAAGAAUUGAAUUAAACACUAUGGCUCAUGGUUUAUUGAAUGGUUUGCAGAUUCGUCCAUAAAAGUUGCCAUCAGAGCAAUCUUAAACACCUG
rnacentral:lncRNA from 1 species